GUGGGGAAUAUUGGGCAAUGGGCGCAAGCCUGACCCAGCGACGCCGCGUGGGGGAAGAAGUCUUUCGGGAUGUAAACCCUUGUUGUACGGGACGAAACGAAUGACGGUACCGUACGAGGAAGCCCCGGCAAACUACGUGCCAGCAGCCGCGGUAAUACGUAGGGGGCGAGCGUUGUCCGGAAUUACUGGGCGUAAAGCGCACGUAGGCGGGCUGUCAAGUCGGCCGUGAAAGGCACUGGCUCAGCCGGUGUUUGUCGGUCGAUACUGGCGGUCUGGAGUAUGGGAGAGGGAACUGGAAUUCCCGGUGUAGCGGGGAAAUGCGUAGAUAUCGGGAGGAACACCAGUGGCGAAGGCGGGUUCCUGGCCCAUUACUGACGCUGAGGUGCGAAAGCCGGGGGAGCGAACGGGAUUAGAAACCCGGGUAGUCC
rnacentral:rRNA from 1 species